UACGAAGGGGGCUAGCGUUGUUCGGAAUUACUGGGCGUAAAGCGCACGUAGGCGGAUAUUUAAGUCAGGGGUGAAUCCCGGGGCUCAACCCCGGAACUGCCUUUGAUACUGGGUAUCUCGAGUCCGAGAGAGGUGAGUGGAAUUCCGAGUGUAGGAGGUGAAAUUCGUAGAUAUUUCGGAGGAACACCAGUGGCGAAGGCGGCUCACUGGCUCGGUACUGACGCUGAGGUGCGAAGCGUGGGGAGCAAACAGGG
rnacentral:rRNA from 1 species